rnacentral:rRNA from 1 species
AUGAGGAGUUCUUCCGGCUACUUGUCGCUGGCUGCAGCCGUGGCCACGCUUCUGGUACUGACGGCGGCCACGGAGGCCGAAGGCAUCCGGCUAGACGCCGAGACCCGGGCUUCAGUCGGGAGUAGCGGCAGCAACCCGGUGCACAAUAAACCAAGCGAUGAUUUGGUCAAGGGUUCUACCACUGGCUCGGUCAGCGACAGCGAGACGACGAGAAGCGCCGGUGCUGUGAGCGAAAUUAGGGCAGUGGCGCACGUGCCGGAGUUCCAUGAAGACUACUACGUUCGAACUGUUCACGGUUCUAGGCACCACUGA